UGAAUGGAGAGGAGGCGGGUGGAACCGACAGGUAACGCGUGACGAUUCUCACCUGUGUGUAAUUAGAGAGAGAGAGAGAGAGAGAGAGAGAGAGAGAGAGAGAGAGAAGCAAGCAAGCAAGCAGCAAGCAGCAAGCCGACCAGCACCGAGCCGUGUGUGUAUAAAAUCGAACCGCUGAAAAGUGAACGUAAAGGAAUAAAGCGCCUUUUGAGUUGUUUCAAGCCUGCCUCCAGCUUCCUCAUUCCUUCCCCGAACUUGGGAAAUGCUGCUUGGGAACUCGGUACGCCCUUAGCGUCUGGUUUGAAACCAAAAUAUUGCCAAAUAGGCGACGUGACAUUUUUCUUUACCACCAAAGAUUAUCAUUUUCCGAACAUCAUUUCCCGCGAUAAUGGAAGAAUGACUGACUUGGAGAGAACAUUCUACACACCACCAUCACUGAGGUCUUGCCUGUCCCUCCAGAGGUAGAAGAUAUAUUGCCCUUGCAAUCCCAUGGUGUGGUGACAUGAUUUUAAGUUUACUUUAUUUUUCUUUUUUACUCUUUCUCUCAUCUUUGUUUCCUUCCAUCUCUUUCCCUCCAUCUUUCCUCUUUCAUGUCCAGUAAGAUUAUCAUUAAUCUGUCAUAUGCUCUCUACUGUAUUGUUUGUAAACAAAGUACAUAUUAUGAAUUUGUAUGUUGAGAAAUGACCCAACUAAACUCAUAAAAUCUCACAGGCAGACAGAAACAAAAAUAACUGCGUGAGUGAGAUUAAAAAACUCCCUUCUGGUUUAGGCCACACUCACUCUGGGUUUAAAUACAAAACAUCACUUUACACGUCGAAAAGAGUGACGUGUUUUUACCCUUAAGUCCUGCGUUCAGAUCAUUAAGUCAGCUGAAAAUGUCAGCUAGGUAGGUAAAAAGGGCAAGCCAUUUUUUAAUCAGAAAAUCUUGGCGCUAGCAGGGAGUCAUUGAGAACACAUUACUCUAAUGUUUGAUAUAAAUAUUAACUGAAGCUCUUGACCUGUAUUUGCAUGAUUUUAUGCACUGUCCUGCAGCCACAUGUUGGACUGUAUGAAAGAGUAGGCAUACAGGUGUUCCUAAUCAAAGUGUUCAGCGAGCGUAUACACUAUAUGGUCAAAAGUAUGUCAACACCUGAAAUUCACACACACGUGGUUCUUCCUCAAACUGUUGCCAGAAAGGUGGAAGCACACAAACAUCCUUGAUGAGGCCCAAAUCUGUUCAAGCACGAUAAUGCCCCUGUGCAUAAAGCAAAAUCCAUUUGCACAAAGCAAAACCAUCUAAGACAUGGUUUGCCAAGGUUGGCAUGGAACAACUCAAGUCGCCUGUUUAGAUCCCUGCCAUCAACCCUACAGAACACCUUUGGGAUGAAUAGGAAUGUCGAAUUCAAAAUCUAGUGGAAAGUCUUCCCAAAAGUGUAAGUGGAGGUUAUUAUAACAGCAAAUAGGGGACUAAACCUAGAAUGGGACAUUAGUAAUACAGUGCAUGAGUGUGAUAAAUGGGUGGCCAUAUUCUUGUGGCCAUAUAGUGUGUGUCAUGAAAAAGUUGAGACAGAUGCAAUUGCAGAAUUUUAAAGAUUUAAUAAAAGUAACAAAUAAAAUACAAAGACACUAACUAAGGCAAAACACAGUGGCAAGGACUAAACACAAACACAGCAGCAGAGACAGAAACAUAGAAAGACAACAUGAGACAAGGAAGCAGUGGAAACAGUGGCUAUAUAUAAAAGCGUGCUCGUUAACCAGGAAGUGAAUUCAGGUACUCAUGUGACUGAUGAGUAUGGUGCAGUGGCUGCUGGGAACUGGAGUCCAGAGUUCCUUCCCUGAUACAUGAUAGAACCACCCCCCGGGGCGCUUCUCCCUGAGCGCCAAAAUACACUCCCUCACUCUGGCGGUCAUGGCCCCCUGUGCAAAACAUCCCCAGCUGAAGCAGAAGACUGAGCAGCGUCCUCAGCUGGGCAGGAAGGCAGUGCUUGGUUGUUUGUGUCAGCAGAUUCGGGCAUGAUAUCCCCGGUCCGGCAUGAAUGCAGAGCGAGGCUGACUGAUGUUCUCUGUGGACUGACUGGUUCGUUGGACUAGACCACAAUAGGUGAGGGUGGGAGAUGGUUCCACCUUGGUAAAAAGGCUCCCACUUGUACAGGGACUCAUGGACCCUGAAAAAUUCCAUUGCAUCCAUGUGUCAGUCUCAUGUUCUGUCACUAAACGAAGUUGAGACAGAUGCAAUUGCAGAAUUUUAAAGAUUUAAUAAAGUAACAAACAAAAUACAAAGACACUAAGGCAAACCACCAUAGCAUGGACUAAUCACAAACCAAAAACACAGCAGAAGAGACAGAAAUAUAGUAAGACAACGUGAGACGAGGAAGCUGUGCAAACAGUGGCUAUAUAUAAGCAUGCUCGUUAACCAAAAAGUGAAUUCAGGUGCAGGUUCAUGUGACUGAGUAUGGUGCAGUAGCUUCUGGGAACUCCAGAGUUCCUUCCCUGAUACAUGACUGUGUGUGUGUGCGUCGGCCUCACAUAUUUGUCAUACUUGUGUAUAUGUGGCCAGGGACCAGGAUGAAAGAGGCUGCAUAUUUGAUUACUUACUUUUAAAGUUCUUUCUUACUUCUCUUUCUCAGUCCCCAGGAGACAAUCAAACUGGACCUCUGAGAUUUGACCUAAUAAGUCACUGAUCUCAUUUGCAUCACCAAAUUCCUACAAAUUCAUGAACUAUAAACCCUACAAAUCCACGAGCCAUAAAAUAAGGCUCAUAUCAGAAUCCACAUUUAUGUAAUAUUCAUCCACACAUCCAAACUGAUAAACUGCUGUCCAAUUGAUGUCAGUCACAGGUAUCUGGACAUUAACUGGGUAGGGGAUGCCGGGCAGCCCUCUGUCCUCCUGCAGGGUGAGAAUUUGAUUUGGAUAAGGAUGUAAAUGAGGCAGAGUGUAGUCAUUUAGCUGCAGGGGCUGCGGAACGUUAAAGAUUUAUGUCUGAUGAGCCGUUCGUACUAUUAAUAAUCUUUUGAAAAGCAUUCGUAAUGGAUAAUGGGUUUGUAAUGGGUGGAUGGGUUUCUUCUGAUGGAUGAGACUCCUGAUGAUGAAACUUGACCCAGAGAGAAUGUCUUACUCUUUAGCUUUCCUUGUAUCUUUGUAUCACGUAUUGGGAUACCUUAACAACAAUUUAACAUGAUAGAUUAUACAAUCCAAAUUCCAGAUUAAACAGUUUUGGGUUUGUUUUGGGGGGGUUUUUUGUGUGUGGUAUCAGUUAAAACUGUGUUUUUUCUAAUCAGUGCUAUAAACAGCACUGUUUUUUUUCCUCUCACUUCAAGAACCUGCCUUCAAUUGACUUUUAGGAUCCUGAGAUUUGACCGCUUGAUCUAACUUGUGCUACAACAGGGGGGAAAAGAGCACAUUGUAUGAUGCCAGAUGCUGGAGCUGACCUUUGCAUUCAUCCUGUUGAAAUUAAAUGGACAACAGCCGCAGGUUUCGGCUGAGGACGGCAUGAGAACUGUCUUCCCUCCUGAAUGCUAAUAAGGGUCAUGGGGGAACCUGGAGCCAAUCCCAGGGCACAAGCAUCAGGCACAAGGCGGGGUACACCCUGGACAGGGUGCCAGUCCAUCACAGGGCACAAUCACAUACACACUCACACACCCAUUCAUACACUAUUCAGACACUUUAGACACACCAAUCAGCCUACCAUGCAUGUCUUUGGACUGGGGGAGGAAACCGGAGUACCCGGAGGAAACCCCGCAGCGCGGUUUCCCGGCGGGAAUCGAACCCCCGGCCCUGGAGGUUUGAGGCAAAUGUGCUAAACACUAAGCCACCGUGCGCCCCUAUUAUAAUAUGUUUUUAUUAUAAUAUGUACAUGGCUUCUACCACAAUAACUGACAAUAAAUGAUUGGUAUAAGCUAAUCUGCUGAAGAAUAAGUCAUAGCAUGUUAUGUUCACAUUUAUACCAUUUUUAAAUUAUAUUGUUACUCUUUGGCACCUAUCUUUUGCACUACUUGUUAUAUCAGACACUUACACACUAAAACUGUUGAUGACUACUGGUCGAUGCUACACUGUCACUUACUGCACCUAUUGUCCUGUUUUAGUAGUAUUGUAUGGUCUUGUGUUGUUAGCACAUGUUUGCAUGUGCACUUUAUGUAAAAAUGUGUAGAUCUUAUUUAGUUCUGUGUCGUCUCAUGUGGUUAGUGUGUUAUGUAGCACCAUAGUCCUAGAGGAACGUUGUUUCGUUUCACUGUGUACUGUACCAGCUGUAUAAAGUUGAAAUGACAAUAAAACCACUUGAAUUUGAA